rnacentral:rRNA from 1 species
AGUGAACGCUGGCGGUAGGCCUAACACAUGCAAGUCGAACGGCAGCACAGUAAGAGCUUGCUCUUACGGGUGGCGAGUGGCGGACGGGUGAGGAAUACAUCGGAAUCUACUUUUUCGUGGGGGAUAACGUAGGGAAACUUACGCUAAUACCGCAUACGACCUACGGGUGAAAGCAGGGGAUCUUCGGACCUUGCGCGAUUGAAUGAGCCGAUGUCGGAUUAGCUAGGUGGCGGGGUAAAGGCCCACCAAGGCGACGAUCCGUAGCUGGUCUGAGAGGAUGAUCAGCCACACUGGAACUGAGACACGGUCCAGACUCCUACGGGAGGCAGCAGUGGGGAAUAUUGGACAAUGGGCGCAAGCCUUAUCCAGCCAUACCGCGUGGGUGAAGAAGGCCUUCGGGUUGUAAAGCCCUUUUGUUGGGAAAGAAAAGCAGCAGGUUAAUACCCCGCUGUUCUGACGGUACCCAAAGAAUAAGCACCGGCUAACUUCGUG